CAAAAGUAGCCAAUUAGACAAGGGGCUAAGGAACACCUCGCCCACAGUUUAGCAGCGUGUGCACCCAGGCUAUAAAGCUCAGAAACACAUCACUUCUACAGAGCUGCUUGCUAACUGCACAAGUCUGUGAGUACCCUGAACAAGCUAAUCAUCUCAGAAUGCAGUUUGCUGGGAAAGCGUUGGAGGAGCUUUUGGUCUUUGCAAAAAGUCAGGAAUGUCUGACUCUUGGAGUCUACGAUUCUGCAAAAGUCAUGAAUGUUGAUCCAGACUGUGUGGCGUUUUGUGUUCUGGCAACUGAUGAGGAGUAUAACGGUGACAUCGCCCUGCAGAUCCACUUCACCUUAAUCCAGGCGUUCUGCUUUGAUAACGGCAUCGACAUCGUGAGAGUGAAUGACACCCAGCGACUGGCUGAGAUUCUGAGCGACACCGAUGAGUCAGAAGAUGUGCACUGCAUUCUUGUCACGAAUCCAAGUGAAGAUACUCUGGACGACCCUGCUCUGGAAAAGCUGAGCUUGUUUUGUGAGGAGUGUCGCAGCUUCAAUGAAUGGGUCCCUGCUAUCACACUCCCUGAGCGUUGAACUGAGACACGUCAACUCCUGUUGGGGAUGCGUAACCUUCGUUUAAUUAUCAUCAUGGAAUACAUGGGUUACCCAUCAAAUUCCUGAAAUGUGUUGAUUAUCCUGUUGAGGAAUCAGAUGCGGAAUCGGGAAGUGGCUGGAACAGACGUGCUGAAGAGCCUUGCGAGGUAGAUGGACGUUUCAUACCAAGGUGCCCCCACUUUCCAGAUGGAGUGGGGGCUGGUAUACCAUGGAAAAGAGUGGAGUUUUAUUGAGUUCGGGAUCAGUGUGGAGAUUUCAGAGGGAUACAGAAAAUCUAUUAGAAAAGACUUACGCUUACGUUUUAAGAAAGCAAACAGAUUACAAUAUGGUUAUGAAGCAGAUGGCCUGAUGUAACAUUACUGUAUACAAAACUUUCAAAGUAAAACAAACGUUUACAGAGUGUUGCUAUGUACUGUAAUGGAAUGAGUUUGAUGUUGAAUUACUGUGAAACAAAAUAAAUCUUUUAAAAUGA